rnacentral:misc_RNA from 1 species
UUUCCGUAGGUGAACCUGCGGAAGGAUCAUUGUCACACAUCCUAAUGGAUGCUUGUGCCAACAAGCAGACCCAGCGAACCAUUCUCCUAUCACUUGAGGGGCUGCAUCGUGAGGUGCAGCUGUCUGCGGUCGGGCCCUUGCUUCAGGGCCGGAGUCCUUGCUGGGUUCACCGUUGCAGGUGAGCACCGGCCGUCCGACGGGGGCCGCUCUUGGGCCUCGCACACGGGAGAGUGCGGGGGCGGCGUUUCCCACUCCAGCUGUCCCUUCCGGGGCAGCUGCGCAACCAACCAAAACACUAUGCAAAAACCGACUGAAGACCGAUCCUUUGCGGGCGCCUUCGGGAGCCCUGCCUCGGAUCAAAAACAAACUAAAGACAACUCUCAACAACGGAUAUCUUGGCUCUC